AGUNGAGUUGUUUGGGAAUGCUGCUCAAAAUGGGAGGUAAACCCCUUCUAAAGCUAAAUACCGGCCAGAGACCGAUAGCGCACAAGUAGAGUGAUCGAAAGAUGAAAAGCACUUUGAAAAGAGAGUUAAAAAGCACGUGAAAUUGUUGAAAGGGAAGCGCUUGCGACCAGACUCGCGCCCGUCGGAUCAGCCGUCGCUCGUCGGCGGCGCACUCCGGCGGGCUCGGGCCAGCAUCAGUUCGCCUCGGGGGGAGAAAGGCGGCGGGAAUGUGGCUCCACGGAGUGUUAUAGCCCACCGCGUAAUACCCCCGGGCGGACUGAGGACCGCGCGUAUGCAAGGAUGCUGGCGUAAUGGUCGUCAGCNACCCGUCUUGAAACACGGA
rnacentral:rRNA from 1 species